AGAGUUUGAUCCUGGCUCAGGACGAACGCUGGCGGCGUGCUUAACACAUGCAAGUCUACGAGAAAGUUUCUUUCGGGAAGCAAGUAAAGUGGCGCACGGGUGAGUAACACGUAAGCAAUCUACCUUUAGGUUUGGAAUAACUUCGAGAAAUCGGGGCUAAUACCAGAUGAUGCAGCGAUACCUCAUGGUAAUGCUGUUAAAGUCUAUAUGGCGCCUAAAGACGAACUUGCGUCUGAUUAGCUUGUUGGUAAGGUAAUGGCUUACCAAGGCAACGAUCAGUAGCUGGUCUGAGAGGAUGAUCAGCCACACUGGAACUGAGACACGGUCCAGACUCCUACGGGAGGCAGCAGUGAGGAAUAUUGGGCAAUGGGCGAAAGCCUGACCCAGCAACGCCGCGUGGAGGAUGAAUGUCGUAAGAUUGUAAACUCCUGUUAGAGGGGAAGAAUAAUCCCGAUCGACUCGGGACAUGACUGUACCCUCAGAGAAAGCUCCGGCUAACUACGUGCCAGCAGCCGCGGUAAU
rnacentral:rRNA from 1 species